UGUUCUGUGGCUUAGCUGGCUAAAGCGCCGGUUUAGCCAAUACGGAAUCAUGGGCUCGAGUCCCACCAGAACAC
rnacentral:tRNA from 1 species